rnacentral:lncRNA from 1 species
AGAUUAAAAUUGGUGUAUCCGAAACAAUGAUGGAUGUGAACAACUAUGUUUACCUACACCACACAAUUCAACCAUAUGUCCAUGUGCUGAUUGGUUUGAUCUUAAAGCAGAUGGCACGACAUGUCUUGAUAAAGGUAUACUGUGUGUUUAUCAUUUUCAACUUUAAUUAUUGGUUUCGUCUGAAUCAUUCGUAAUGGUGUGCGAUUUAUUAUAUGAUGUUCCGUCUAAAUUGCUGUAAUCUUUAUGUUGAAAUUACUCUGACGAAAUGAUAUGAGACAUUGAAUUAGAAUAUGAAAAUACAUGAUGAUUUUGGUUAUCAUAUAACUAUCUUUAAUACAUUAUACAUGUACAUACGUUCUUACCUCAAUAUAUAAAAACUCAAAAAAUAACCAAACAAAAACAAAACGUAUGUAUUUAACAUGUUUACCAUUUUUAAACCAUGCGUUCCCUCUUUCUUAUAAAUGAACGGCACACAAUUCUUAAACAAACUAUGAAACCGCAUGAACAAGAGCUCUGUAUUUCCCGCUGUUUUUCUAUUGUAUCCCCGAAUGUAUCAAAUGGCAAUUUAAAACAAAACUGUUCAAUAUUGCAAUGUAUCGUACUUCCUUGACAUGUCGUAGAAUAUGAUUGGUUAAAAGCAGCACAGUGGAUACUGUGUAUAUUUUAUUUCGAUUAGAUGGAAGGGCUAAUUUCAAUACACAAUUAAAAGUUCGGUUACAUUCCUUUAUAAACACAACACGUUAGUGAGGAAAGAUCUUAAAGGUUUCAAACGCCAAAGACACGAUUGAAAUAAUUACAUAUUUAACACAUUGAUAGCUAUCAAAUUGUUGUUGUUUGCAUUUGCUUUUGUAUAGAUUAAUUGAAGUAGAUUAUUAAUACUAAGGAUAUUGCAGACUAUAUCAUUUUGACGACCAAACAGUUUAAAUACCACGUGUUAAACUAGUCGGUAUAAUAGAUGCUUCACAUAGUGUGUUACUGACCCCUUACGAUGUAUUUUUUCGUAAUAGCUUUAGGUCACUAGCACACUAUGUAACUAAUACUUAUUUAUUACGAAUACCAAACUUGUUUUACCUCAUUUGAUAAUAUGAAGAUAUAUCAUACGCAUAUACUGUGUAUAAGGUUCUGGUAAAUGGUUGAUAAAUGCUAAUCUGAAAACCAUUGAAAGGCUGGGCGUUGAGUCAGAGACUGUAGUUUCUAGAACGAGUAGCGCUGUAGAUCUAGAUAUUCAUUAUGAAAAAGGAUUUGUUUAUUGGUCUGAUGUUCAUGAAAAGAAGAUUUCCAGG